UGCUUACUCCCUCCGUUCCAAAUUACUCGUCGUUGAAAUGGAUGUAUCUAGAACUAAAAUACAUCUAGAUACAUCCAUACGUGCGACAAGUAAUUCGGAACGGAGGGAGUACAUG
rnacentral:pre_miRNA from 1 species